CCCGCGGUGGCGCGGCUGCGCCGGGGGAGCCCGGGGCACCGCCGUGGGAGGCGCGGUGCCGCCCGAAGGAGCGGGGGCGGGUGCCUCCGCAGCCGAGUACGGCCAGCGCGGCCUGCGGCGCUCGCCAUGGGCCGGCCGGGGGCUGGGGGCGCAGCGCCCGCAGCCGCAGGCGGUAGCGCAGAAGUGCGGGAGCGAAGGUACAGGAGGCGCUUCUGUGGGCUUAGGCCACGGGGGCACUGCUGCUCAGAGCCGCUGUCAGGAAGGCCUUCUGGUCUUAAUCUUACCAUGCAAAUGAAGAGAAACACCUGUACCUGCAGAGAGUGAGCAUGACUUUAACCUAUUUACAGCAAGUACUCCAGCCACACCGCCCACACAGAAGGCAAAGGCAGGGACUGGGAGAAUGAAGAACUGCCCACUGUCGGAGAUCAGGUUUGAGACCAUCUAAGGAACCUGAAGGUGCAUAAGUCCAUGGGACCUGAUAGGAUGCAUCUGUGGGUGCAGAGGGAACUGAUGGAUGAAGUGGCUGAGUCACUAGCUAUUGUAUUUGACAAGCUGUGACAGUCCAGCGAAGAUCCCACGGACUGGAAAAGGGGAAACAUAACCCCCAUUUUUAAAAGGGGAAAAAAAGAAGACUUGGAGAACUACAGGUUGGUCAGUCUCACCUCUGUGUCCAGCAAGAUGAUGGAGCAGAUCCUCCUGGAAACUAUGCUAAGGCACAGGAAAAAUAAGGAGGUGAUUUGUGACAGCCAACAUGACUUCAAGAAGCGCAAAUCAUACCUGACAAAUUUGGUGGCCUUCUAUGAUGGGGUUGCAGCGUUGCUGGAUAAAUGAAGAGCAAAUGAUAUCAUCUACCUGGACUUGUGCAAAGCAUCUGACACUUUCCCAUACCACAUCCUUGUCUUUAAACUGGAGAGACACAGAUUUGAUGGGUGGACCACUCAGUCCUUAUCAGUGGAUAAGGAAUUGGCUGGGUGGUCACACUGAAAGAGUUGUCAUCAGCUUGAUGCCCAAGUGGAUACCAGUGACAAGUGGCAUUCUUCAGGGGCUGGUAUUAGGACCAGCACUGUUUAACAUUGUUGUCAGUGACAUGGACAGUGCAGUCGAGUGCACCCUUGGCAAGUUUGCAGGCGACACCAAUAUGUGUGGUACAGUUCACAUGCUGGAGGGAAGGGAUGCCAUGCGGAAGGACCUUGGCAGGUCUGAGAGGUGGGCCUGUGCAAACUGUAUGAAGUUCAACAAGGCCAAGUGCAAGGUCCUGCAUGUGGGUUGGGACAAUCCCAAGCACAAAUACAGGCUGGCCAGAUUAUAGAUUGAGAGCAGCCCUGAGGAGAAGGACUUGGGGGUGUUGGCAGAUGAGAAGCUUGACAUGACCUCGCAAGUGUGCAUUUGCAGCCCAGCAAGCCAACCGUAUCCUGGGCUGCAUCAAAAGAAGUGUGACCAGCAGUUUGAGGAAGAAUGUCAGCCUACAGAGGCCAAGGUAUACCUUGCAAAUACAGAUUUAAGUAUUAGACAAGAAUACGAGGACUACAUGAUUAAGCAAGUACUAGUUAAGAGAGAAUCAGCAUCGAGUGAUGUCCAGGACACAUCCUAAGAAUAGCAGGAGGUAUGCUGUGAAAAGUAGAAGCCAACAACUUGGGCUGCCCUCCAGCCCCCAAGGACACUUCUCAUUCCGUGGGUACAUGCGUGACUUCAGUGGAACUAAUGGCAUUACAGCAGGAAAAUAUGGACUGGUGUGAGAAUGAUUCGAGAAUCAUGAUUACCAUGUGCCUUUUAGCAAG